CUCAAUAUGGAUUGGAUGAUGUUUACCUUGCACCUUUAGGUGGCUCUCAAUUGGCAUUUAUUCAGAUUCUGGGUGCGCUCGAAUCUGGGCCAUUGCGAGUUUGACCUUUAAAGAUUGCUUGUUACAUCUUCUCUUGGCGUGCUUCUAUGUGGACUAGAUGACUCAAUUCUUUAAUAGGUCUUGGGUGCGCUCGGACCUAGGAUUGCUCGAGUCUAGUUCCAAUGGAGUUGUUACUUUUGGCGAGCGCGUGCUUCCACUCCACUACUACCGGUUCAAGGAGUUGUUACUUUUGGUGAGCGCGUGCUUCUACUUCAUUCCUAGGCGUCAUAAAGCUCAAAGUUUGACACUUACUUUGGAAGCAAGGUGAAGCCCUCCAUAUCGAUGCAUACUUUGGAGGCAAGGCGAAGCCCUCCAUAUCGAUGUAUACUUUGGAAGCAAGGGGAAGCACUCCGCAUCGGCGCAUACUUUGGAAGCAAGGCGAAACACUCCGC
rnacentral:lncRNA from 1 species